rnacentral:rRNA from 1 species
UACAGAGGGGGCGAGCGUUGUUCGGAAUUACUGGGCGUAAAGGGCGCGUAGGCGGCCAACUAAGUCAGACGUGAAAUCCCUCGGUUCAACCGGGGAACUGCGUCUGAUACUGGAUGGCUUGAAUUCGGGAGAGGGAUGCGGAAUUCCAGGUGUAGCGGUGAAAUGCGUAGAUAUCUGGAGGAACACCGGUGGCGAAGGCGGCAUCCUGGACCGAGAUUGACGCUGAUGCGCGAAAGCCAGGGGAGCAAACGGG